rnacentral:rRNA from 1 species
CUGUGGAACGAGCGGCGGACGGGUGAGUAACACGUGGGCAACCUGCCUGUAAGACUGGGAUAACUCCGGGAAACCGGGGCUAAUACCGGGUAAUUCAUCGGAUCGCAUGAUCCGUUGUUGAAAGAUGGCUUCUGCUAUCACUUACAGAUGGGCCCGCGGCGCAUUAGCUAGUUGGUGGGGUAAAAGCCUACCAAGGCGACGAUGCGUAGCCGACCUGAGAGGGUGAUCGGCCACACUGGGACUGAGACACGGCCCAGACUCCUACGGGAGGCAGCAGUAGGGAAUCAUCCGCAAUGGACGAAAGUCUGACGGUGCAACGCCGCGUGAGUGAGGAAGGUCUUCGGAUCGUAAAACUCUGUUGUUAGGGAAGAACAGGUUCCGUUUGAAUAAGGCGGAGCUUUGACGGUACCUAACCAGAAAGCCACGGCUAACUACGUGCCAGCAGCCGCGGUAAUACGUAGGUGGCAAGCGUUGUCCGGAAUUAUUGGGCGUAAAGCGCGCGCAGGCGGUUCCUUAAGUCUGAUGUGAAAGCCCAUGGCUCAACCAUGGAGGGUCAUUGGAAACUGGGGAGCUUGAGGACAGAAGAGGAGAGCGGAAUUCCACGUGUAGCGGUGAAAUGCGUAGAUAUGUGGAGGAACACCAGUGGCGAAGGCGGCUCUCUGGUCUGUGCCUGACGCUGAGGCGCGAAAGCGUGGGGAGCGAACAGGAUUAGAUACCCUGGUA